UCCCAGACUCCUACGGGAGGCAGCAGUGGGGAAUAUUGGGCAAUGGGCGCAAGCCUGACCCAGCAAUGCCGCGUGAAGGAAGAAGGCUUUCGGGUUGUAAACUUCUUUGACAGGGGAAGAGCAGAAGACGGUACCCUGAAAACAAGCCACGGCUAACUACGUGCCAGCAGCCGCGGUAAUACGUAGGUGGCAAGCGUUGUCCGGAUUUACUGGGUGUAAAGGGCGCGUAGGCGGGAUGGCAAGUCAGAUGUGAAAUCCGGGGGCUCAACCCCUGAACUGCAUUUGAAACUGUCGUUCUUGAGUACUGGAGAGGUUGACGGAAUUCCUAGUGUAGCGGUGAAAUGCGUAGAUAUUAGGAGGAACACCAGUGGCGAAGGCGGUCAACUGGACAGCAACUGACGCUGAGGCGCGAAAGCGUGGGGAGCAAACAGGAUUAGAUACCCCUGUAC
rnacentral:rRNA from 1 species